AAUCAACGCUGGCGGCGUGCCUCAGACAUGCAAGUCGAACGCGAAAGUUCCCUUCGGGGGGAUGAGUAGAGUGGCGCACGGGUGAGUAACACGUAGGUAAUCUACCUUUGGAUGGGGAAUAACAACCGGAAACGGUUGCUAAUACCGCAUAAUGCAGCGGCACCUAAUGGUGACAGUUGUUAAAGCGGGGGAUCGAAAGACCUCGCGUCUGAAGAGGAGCCUGCGGCGGAUUAGCAGUUGGUAAGGUAACGGCUUACCAAGGCGACGAUCCGUAGCCGGCCUGAGAGGGCGGUCGGCCACACUGACACUGACAUACGGGUCAGACUCCUACGGGAGCAGCAGUCGGGAAUUUUGGGCAAUGGGCGAAAGCCUGACCCAGCAACGCCG
rnacentral:rRNA from 1 species